GGUAGCAGGGCAGCUCCUUCCCCAAUAAAGCCUUGCUUGGGGUGCUCCUGUUUCGACCUGUUUUCUUUCAAGAGCAUAUCAACUUUAGUUGAUAAAAUUUCUCCACAUGGUGGUACAGGUUAGUAAUUCUGAUACUGCUUAUACAUGUAUUCUGAGAUUGAAAACUUCAGACAAAAUGGCCCCAAGGGUCCUACAUUCUAAAAUGGCUACCAUUCCUAAAAUGGUUCCCACUUAGGGAAAUGAGCCACUUGGAUGGUGGGGAGUGAAACCUACCCCCUCUGGAGAAGGAAAACCUAAUUUGUUGCUCCACCCUGCUACCCACGUGAUCCUCCCCUUCCAAUCACCUGGCAUCCUGUUGCUCAACUCUCAGGAUACUCUCCCCACAGCACCGCCCUAUAUAAACCUCACCCCAGUUAGUCUUCCUCUCUCUCACCAUUGUUGGAGGUAGCAGGGCAGCUCCUUCCCCAAUAAAGCCUUGCUUGGGGUGCUCCUGUUUCGACCUGUUUUCUUUCAAGAGCAUAUCAACUUUAGUUGAUAAAAUUUCUCCACAUGGUGGUACAGGAUCUGUGAGAAGGGAAAGAAUAAAGAAAGAGAAGAAAGAAAGAGAAAGAAAGAAAGAAAGAAAAGAAAGAGAAAAGAGCUAUGCAGGACCAUACUCCGUAGACAAGCACAGACGAGAUCCAGGAUUCAACCCAAGGACUUUUACUUGUAAGGCCUGUACCCCAGACAAUGGGAAGAACAGAGAAGAGGCAGAUAAUAAAUGGAUUCAUUUAAACCAAUCAAGCAGUAAAGUAAACUGGGCUGAGAUUUUCAGACUCAAGUCAAACAAAAAAAUUAGACAAUGUUCAACUUAAAUCCAGGACAUGUAUAUUGUGCAAUCACAUCAUCUCAAGAGCAUAGAAUUUUUUAAAAUGUUAAUGUUCAUAUUGGCUGGUGACAAGGGCAGAAACAUUUAGGACCAACCUAAAACUCUUUGACCUAUAGCCCUAGUGCACAGAAUUUUUUAACCUCAAUUUGCUUGAGGUGAUAACCAUGACAUUCUUGAAAUAGUAAAACAUUUCCUUGUGGGCACAACUAGCAGCUGUGGAAGAUGUGUACCACCCAACUCCAGGAUGUUAUUUUGGGGACUGUUGUCUGCAGACUUGUUUAGGAAUCAUCUGUACAACCAUAUGUUGCAGAUUUCAUAAAUAUGUGCCCUUAAUCUCCAGGAAGAGUACUAAUAAUUUUGUCUAUUUGUGAUUGAGAGUUUAGUCUUGAUAUAGAUACUAUUUAAAGCAUUUGUAAUAUUGAAGAAAAUUUGACACAUUAGGAUACCUAAAUAUUAAUCUUAUAAAUCAGAAAGUAGCUAGCCAACUCAGAUUGGGAAAAUCUGAAGAAAGUGUAAGGAAGGGACCAUUGAAAAGGAGUAAACAGUACUACAGUACUCUGGAGCUAGUGACAGAGGCAGUUGCCUGGAUAGUAUGAUAAAGGAAUCAUUACUGAACACCAGAGGCAGAAAGGGUUGCAUGGAGCCAAACAGAAUUGUAACUUCUAACUGGAGGUUAAGGUCAGCCAAGGUUGACCCCAAAAGAAGAAAUCCAGGAAAAUAGUCAGACUUCACUGUCUAAUGUCUUGCCCCUUCUCCUCAUUGUCCAAGCCUGAAAGACACCAAAGGGCAAACUUCUCUGUAAAUCAUUUACAAGGACAAGGUGAGAGGUAGAAAGGAUAAGAUAUCUGAACAGGCAAACAGAACACAUCCAACACAGCCUACCUAUAUUGUUCCUCAGGACUUGCUCUUGUCCUCUGUCUUAGAAAAUGGUUUUGUCACCAAACAAGACAUAUGAAGUAACAGCACAGGAGCAGUUCACUCAACUAUGUUCCCACCUAGAAAUUAAGAACUUCACCACUAUGGACAUGCUUCAAGUAAGUUACCAGAGGAAAAAAAGGGAGGGUGAGAAUAAAUUAAUAAGAAAAGUAGCUGGUUCAGUCUGUUUAUGCAGCCUCUCAGAAGGCCCAUGUUGAUGGUCAUGGUUGCCUUUUUCUGUGGCUAGAAGUCUCUCUGUUGGGAGGGAUCUGGGAAAAUAAGUACUCCACCCUCAUUCUUCUCUUUCUUCCCUUUUCUACAGGGGCUCCUCCCUGGUCCAACCCAACCAGUAACCACAGAGCUUAGAUGCCUAAAGAUAGGGAGCACAGUCGUUCACCUCUUCACAAGGAACAGAAAAGAAAAUGGGUAAACACCACUGAUCCUAGCAGAGCUUAAAAUUUCUAUAUGAAGUCCAUGGUUGAAUAAUUCACCUUAAAAUUACUACUUUAGUUAAACCUUUUUUGGGGGGGAGGGUACCAGGGUUCGAACUCAGGACCUUGCCACGAGGCAGGCGGCAGAAUCACUGAGCUAAAUCCCCAGCUCUAGUUAAACCAUUUUUUAAUAAUUAGGCUAAUUUGUA
rnacentral:lncRNA from 1 species